rnacentral:rRNA from 1 species
CGGGACGGGUGAGUAAUGUCUAGGGAAACUGCCUGAUGGAGGGGGAUAACUACUGGAAACGGUAGCUAAUACCGCAUAACGUCGCAAGACCAAAGAGGGGGACCUUCGGGCCUCUUGCCAUCGGAUGUGCCCAGAUGGGAUUAGCUAGUAGGUGGGGUAACGGCUCACCUAGGCGACGAUCCCUAGCUGGUCUGAGAGGAUGACCAGCCACACUGGAACUGAGACACGGUCCAG